UGGGGAAUUUUGCACAAUGGGGGGAACCUUGAUGCAGCGACGCCGCGUGAGGGAUGGAGGCCUUCGGGUUGUGAACCUCUUUCGCUCGUGUGCAAGCCGCUAUUUGGGUAGUGGUGAGUGUAGCGGGUAAAGAAGCGCCGGCUAACUACGUGCCAGCAGCCGCGGUAAUACGUAGGGCGCGAGCGUUGUCCGGAUUUAUUGGGCGUAAAGGGCUUGUAGGCGGUUUGUCGCGCCUGUCGUGUAAUCCUCUGGCUUAACUGGGGGUGUGCGGUGGGUACGGGCAGGCUUGAGUGCGGUAGGGGUGACUGGAAUUCCAGGUGUAGCGGUGGAAUGCGCAGAUAUCUGGAGGAACACCGAUGGCGAAGGCAGGUCACUGGGCCAUUACUGACGCUGAGGAGCGAAAGCAUGGGUAGCGAACAGG
rnacentral:rRNA from 1 species